rnacentral:rRNA from 1 species
UACGGAGGGUGCAAGCGUUGUUCGGAAUCAUUGGGCGUAAAGGGCGCGUAGGCGGGACGUUAAGUCCGAUGUGAAAUCCCUCGGCUCAACUGAGGACGUGCAUCGGAUACUGGCGACCUUGAGUCCUGGAGAGGGUAGCGGAAUUCCCAGUGUAGAGGUGAGAUUCGUAGAUAUUGGGAGGAACACCGGUGGCGAAGGCGGCUACCUGGACAGUGACUGACGCUGAGGCGCGAAAGCAUGGGUAGCAAACAGG